GAAGACGACCAUAAUAGUCUGGAAACACCUGUUCCCAUUCCGAACACAGAAGUUAAGCAAGCUAUGUUACUGGUGCUAGUUUCAGAGAUGAAGCAAAGCCAAUAUGUUGUCUUCA
rnacentral:rRNA from 1 species